GACGAACGCUGGCGGCGUGCUUAACACAUGCAAGUCGAGCGAUGAAGCUCCUUCGGGAGUGGAUUAGCGGCGGACGGGUGAGUAACACGUGGGCAACCUGCCUUAUAGAGAGGAAUAGCCAUUCGAAAGGAUGAUUAAUACCUCAUAAUAUUGUAGCUUCGCAUGGAGCGACAAUCAAAGGAGCAAUCCACUAUAAGAUGGGCCCGCGGCGCAUUAGCUAGUUGGUGAGGUAACGGCUCACCAAGGCGACGAUGCGUAGCCGACCUGAGAGGGUGAUCGGCCACAUUGGGACUGAGACACGGCCCAGACUCCUACGGGAGGCAGCAGUGGGGAAUAUUGCACAAUGGGGGAAACCCUGAUGCAGCAACGCCGCGUGAGUGAUGAUGGCCUUCGGGUUGUAAAGCUCUGUCUUCAGGGACGAUAAUGACGGUACCUGAGGAGGAAGCCACGGCUAACUACGUGCCAGCCGCCGCAGUAA
rnacentral:rRNA from 1 species